AAGAAAUUGGUUGAAAUUUAUCCAUACUUGUGAUUCUUGAGACGACUCCAUUAAAAUAUUAAAUUUUGCUCUACAACAGCCUUAUUCAAAAAAAGAAUGGCUUUAUUUUGCAACUGAACAUGGCAUAACUCCUUGCGAUAGUUUAUUAGAGGCUAGAGCAAGCCUGGAGCGUCCUUGGAUUUAUAUAAUAACGGUUAAUAUUUACGCAUGGAAACUGUUGUCAAUCAAAUAAUGGCAAUAUUAUAUGAUAUGCAUGUAAGACAUCAAGAGAUUAUCAAUCACUAUGGUUGAGAGAGAUGACAGUGAUCAUCUGAAAACCAACUCCUGUAAAAGUUAUAUAUAUCUUAUUAUAAUUUGAUGUG